rnacentral:rRNA from 1 species
AUUGAACGCUGGCGGCAGGCCUAACACAUGCAAGUCGAACGAGUGGCGGACGGGUGAGUAAUGUCUGGGAAACUGCCUGAUGGAGGGGGAUAACUACUGGAAACGGUAGCUAAUACCGAAUACAAUCAGAUGUGCCCAGAUGGGAUUAGCUUUGGGGUGGGUUAACGGCGCACAAAGGCGACGAUCCAUAUCUGUUCUGAGAGGAUGACCAGCAACAAGGGAAUGUAGACACGGUCCAGACUCCGACGGGAGGCAGCAGUGGGGAAGAUUGCACAAUGGGCGCAAGCCUGAUGCAGCCAUGUCGCGUGUAUGAAGAAGGCCUUCGGGUUGUAAAGUACUUUCAGCGGGGAGGCGUUACCCGCAGAAGAAGCACCGGCUAACUCCGUGCCAGCAGCCGCGGUAAUUC